GGAGGGUUGGCAGAGCCGGCCGAUUGCGCGCGGGUGCUAACCGCGAGGGCGUGACCCGCCCACGGGGGUUCGAAUCCCCCACCCUCCU
rnacentral:tRNA from 1 species